rnacentral:sRNA from 2 species
UCGCCUGACAAACCUUCACGGCAGCAGCGGGAGAACCACAUCCGGGCGACCUCACGGUCGCCCUCGGGGUGAAGCCGUCCCUGGACGGCAGGCCAACACUUCUCGGCCUAAUCCGACAGCUCAUCUCGCAGGCUGGAGAGGUAGACGAU